UUGUAAUUUGUAGAGGAUGCUUUUGAUGCGGUGCCUUCCGAGUUCCCUGGAACGGGACGCCAUAGAGGGUGAGAGCCCCGUCUGGUUGGAUGCCAAAUCUCUGUAAAGUUCCUUC
rnacentral:rRNA from 1 species